AGAUCGUGCGCUAACCUUUUAGGAGGCAGCGAGCCACGGUGGGAUCAGCGACUGGGGUGAAGUCGAAACAAGGUAGCCGUAGGGGAACCUGCGGCUGGAUCACCUCCUU
rnacentral:rRNA from 1 species